AAGAAGCUCCUUAUUUUAUGGAGCAAAGUAGAAAAAGAGUGAGACAUGUUGACAUGGAAAAAGAGUGUUUCAUGCAUCUGCGAGCUUCUUGUUCUUGAAGGAGAGGCCUGAGCGGAGGAAGUCUUGUUUGGCAGCUGGAGGUUUGAUGGUGGUAACGUUAAUGAACUUCUGGAACCAUUGGCCAGAAGCCUUGAGGUUUCUAUCAUUGAGGUCUGUCCAGUUAACGUAACUGAGUCCAAAUCUGACAGUAAAGCCUUUGCAGAAUUCAUAGUUAUCACCAAGAGACCAUGCAAAGUAUCCUUUCACGUUGACACCCUUCUCCCUGAAAAACAGAAACAAUCAUCAUUAUAUAUAUAUAUAUAUAUAUAUAUAUAGGCAUUGAUGAUGAUCAUUUAUGUAUGUAUAUAAAGAUUAUCAUAUAUAGUAGCAUCCACUUACUUGAUGACCUUACGGAGAAAGCAAAGAUGACUGCAGAGAUAAUCAAUCCGCUUGGUAUCGUUAACAGCCACCUCGCGGGUUUCGUUACCGAAGGAACUAAUUCCUAAAUAAUUAAAACCGUCAUAGUACAUGAACAAACAUUCCACAAUUAAUAUUAAUAUACGUGUGUAUUUUGAGAGUCAUCAAUUUCUUAACAUGUAACUGAGUACUAUAUAUAUAUAGAUGGAAAGAGAUGAACUCACCGUUCUCGGUGAUAUAGAUUAAAGGGUCACUAUAUUUGUUUUUGAAGUAGUCCAUAACGUAAUAAAUGCCUUUUGGGUAGUAAUAGGCGUUUUUUGUUGGGUCGUCCUCUAGAGAGAACUGAGAAAGGAAAUAUAAUAUAAAUGAUCACAAGAAUAUAUUCGGAUGGUGUUAUUAUUUGCUUAUAUAGAAUAAGGGUGGAUCAUGCAUAUAUACCACAGGACCAAUAAAUUCACCACGUGAAUUGUUAUCUGUAAAACACAAUUGGAUGAAAAAAAAUUGAUAAGGAUAUAUGUAUAUAUUGAAAGGUUGUAACUAAUUGAGUGGAAGUAAAUAGAGUGGUACGUACAUGUGAGCGUUGUGUUUGGGUCCAUCAUGGCAGUGUGGUUUUCGGGAGGGACUAUGGUAUUAUUUGGUUGGACGUACUGAGUGACGUAAUAGUUGAGACCAAGAAAAUCAUAUGAACCAGCAACGAGUUUGGCUUCUGCUUCAGUGAAGUCGGGAAGCUUACGACCCAGACUUUUCCUCAUGAUGUCUGGGUAUUUACCCUUUGUUAGCGGCUCCAUGAACCUGAUCCAUGUACAUUAAUAUAUACCUUGUGAAAGAACAGCAUAUAUAUUAGCAAUGUUUUUUAAAAAAAAUCAUUUUGUUGUUUUGGACGUACCAUCCAAAGAAGAAUUCUUUCAUCGUCUUAGUUGCAUUAAUGCAUCCCUCAUCAGUCUCGUUAUAUGGAAGAAACCAUCUAGUUAUCAUCACAGGACCGAUCUUCCCUCCUUGGAACUGUGGUCACGAUCACAAAUGAUAUGAUUAAAUUGUAUAAUCAGAUAUGUUAGAGAUGAAUAUUACACAACCGGAGAGAAAUCACCUUAUAUUUCGUCCUGUAAAGAUCAACCACUGCGGCAUGAGCAAGAAGCUGGUUAUGUGCAACGAUAUAGGGUUCGGUCGAAGAAUUUCCUCCGUAACAUCUGUCAUCAACCGCAGGAGAACAUCGACCCGGUGCAUCUGUUCCGAUUGCAUAGCCUCUCGUAGGCACUGUGUACAACUGGUUGAUUGUGAUCCAGUGCUUUACCUUUCCACCAAAUUCCUUGAAACAUAGAUCCGCAUAAUCUCUAAAAUCAUCUCUGUGCAUGCAUAUUUAUAGAAUCAUCUCAUUAAUGUUCGUAACUAGAUCAAAUCUAUAUGUCCGUAUAUAUGUUUCUCUUUUUAUUUAUCUCUCUUCAUAACAUACAUGAUCGUGCGGUCCAAGAAACCUUCAUACUCAUCUUGCAAUGUUUGAGGAAGGUCCCAGUGAAAGAGGGUAACGAAAGGCGUUAUCUUCUUUGCAAGGAGGCCAUCUAUGAGUUGGUGGUAGUAAUCAAGACCUCCUUGGUUCACUCCCCUACUCACCUUUCCUUCUGUUCAUUCAUGUAUAUAUUCGUAUAUUUACCCUUACAAACAAUCACAAUUGAAUACAAAGACACAUAUACAUGGUUUGAUAAUGUGUACAUACUUGGAAUGAUCCUUGACCACGCAAAGGAGAAUCUGUAGCCCGUAGCAUUGAGUUCGUCCAUAAUGUCUAUAUCUUUCUGCAGUUUACGUAUACAAUCGCAUUUUCGCAUGUCAAUCCACGCGUAGCUGAUAGAUAAUCCAGUGAGCAUAUAUACUGAGGAACUAACCUGCCAUCUCGUAUAUGACUCACAAGUAGUGUCUCCAUUCGCCAAAUCUUUUCCGGCUUUCUCUGAUAGAGAUUACAAAUACAUUGACUAUAUAUGUAUGUAUACAUAGAGACAUAUCAACGACUUUCCUCUCAUAUAUAUGUAACCAUGCAAACGACAUACCUGGGUACCGGUGAGUGAAUUCAUCCCAAACGUUAAAACCACGACCCCUGCCUCCUUCGACCUGAAAUGAAAAGAAACAACCAUGAAACGUAAGAUUUUAGUGUUUUUAAAUGGUUCUUUUAUACGUCAAAAGUGGCAACAAAAUGUGUGAUUUGUUACAUGCCUGGUAAGCAGAAGAUGCAACACCGAAGAUGAAGUCUUUUCCGAAACUUGUACUGUUUAAACGUUCAGUGUUGCUACAUGUGAAUGGUUCCUUCUCUUCACAAGUAAUUUUUUCAUCUGCAGCUUUGCAAGUCGCAACAGCUACUAGCAAAACUAAGGCGAGCCUAUGAAGCUUCAUGGUUAAACUGUAGAUGUAUGUAUGUGUGUUGUGUUGUAUGGAACCUUGUGCCAAUCUAGGGUUUAUAUAGCAUUUUUUAGGAAGAGUUAGGUUUAGAUAUUUUAGUCUAGUGUCUUUCUAUUUCGGGAGAGGUUUAGGCCAGAUGAAUCCCGUGUGUUCACUUACUUUAGCUCAAUGUUCACCGAUAUUGGUUCUAUUUGUCGUUUUGUUUCCACUUCUUAGAGUGGCUUUGCUCUUCAAUCGACCAUUUAAUUGAAGAAAAAAUGUUGCAUUCUUAAUCUGAAUUGUGAAUGGUUGAAUACUAUCUUCUCUAGAGUUUAAUUCGUAGGUUGAUGUAGAAGCAAAUAACAGAAAAGGCAUCGAGAAAAAUAUGGGAUGAAGUUUAACGUGUUAUUUUAUUGAUUUGAUUGUUGUACUUUUAGAAAUAUAAUCAUUUGGUUUCUUUCGUAAAUGAAUAUAUAUAUGAUAUCGAAUUUUUAAAACGAUAGAACCCCAAGAUAAUAGAUCAUAGUUUUAUAUGAUGAAAAUAGAAGUCAGCUCGAUAAAAAUAAGAUUUCCACACAUACAGAAAUAACAAGUAACAUAAAACAAUUUACGAAUACCGUAAAUGACAUAAAACAAAACCGACGAAAAUGUAAUUUGACUUGUCUCUCUUCUUUAGACAAAAUAAAGAAAUAUAUUAUCAUUUACUUGUUAUCAUCAUUUCUGUUGUUAUCUAAUGCAACUACCUCUUUUUAAGCACAUGUGUUCCUUAUGGGGAACACGACUUGGAAUACGAAUGGUAUCACAUCUUCAUUCGAACGUCGACAGUGAUGCAGUGCAGCAUUUGUCGAAGGUUUGCGUAAAACUAGAACAACAUGCAUCAAGAUUCCUUGUAGUAGAUGAUGUUCAAACCCUCUUAAGUUGGACUUGUAGUUAUAAUUGACUCCAAUCAUUGAAAAAUUCUAUAGCUAUAUAAUCGUGUUCAAUCUAGUGUAACAAUGUGUUGAUGAAGAAGAAAAAACAAGUACAAUAUUGAUCCAAUGUGUCACUCGUCACGAGCCUCGCCUCUCAGGCUCUCACAGUCACAGCAUAUUAUAUUGAUUUUUGGCCGCUCGAUGAUUUUAUCACAUGAAACCGGAGACUCCAAAAGACAAAAAAGGGCAUGAAAAAACACGUUUAUUUGUUUAUUAAAUUCGUCGUUAAGUAAUUAGUUAAGUACUGGAGGUGAUUUAUCAUCUGCAAAACAAUAAUCUUCCUCAGUCAUUGAUUUUUUUUUUUCGUUUUGCUUAUUUAUAUUUAAAUGUGAAAUUAGGAAAAAUGACCAUAAAAAAAAAAAAACAUAAAAACUAGCAGUCAUAUACUUCUGGCUAUGAUACAACAAUACUAAUUUAACAAAAUGGACAAAAUGAACCUCACCUUUAUAGGGUUUAUGUAUUAAGAUGUUGAAAGACAAUGCAUCGAUUUAUACAGAAGCAUUGGUUUAUAUAGAGUACAUAUCAUGUAAAUAUCACAUUUUAGAUUUAGAGUUUAGUUUUUGGGCUUAAUUGAGAUUGAGAUUAUGAUUUCAGGUUAAGGUCUAGUUUUUAAGAUCUCAGGUGUACGGUUUAAUUAAGUUUUAGUAUUUUCAACUGAAAUUUAUCUCCUUAAAAUAUGAAACCAUCUUGAAAACAUAUUACUAUUUUGUGUGGUUAUAUAUAUAUAUAUAUAUAUAUAUAUAAACUAAAAAUGAUAUGAUUCAAAAGCUCGUUUCUGAUUCUGUUGUUGUGUUUUAUUUUUUAAAUAUAGUGAAAAAAAACUAAAAAUUUAUAUAAGUAUAAGACAUUUUGAAUUCUUAUUUAUUAUUUUUUUUUUUUGCAAAACUAUACGCAUAUACCAAAAUUAAUUAGGAUAAUUCUCAAUCAUUUGUGUUUGGUCAUUGGUGUUUAUGUUUGUGAUGGGAAAAUAAUUAAGUUUUUAAAAAUCUUAAAGGCUGUGGACUUAUUUGAAGAAAACACGCACAAAACAUAAAAAAAAACUUAGAAACGCAAAUCAAACAAACAGUCAACCGCUAAUUAGGGUACACCACGAUGGGUUCGCUGUUUGAACGAAAAGAAAAGUAAAAAAAAAACAUAUGUAAUUUGAUUUGGUUUCACUGUUUGAGCUAAUUAAGUAUGAUACGUCGUCUUUGCCUCUUUGGUCUAGUUUUUGAGUUUGCAAUAUUAGGUUUGGUUAUACAUACAGUUUACUUUAUUGGAUAUAACUUGGGUGUAUUAAAAGUGUAUGUAUACUUGAACUCCCCCAAAAAAAUAUAUAUGUAUACAUAUAGCUGAACUUAUUAAAUUAAUAAGUGAAUUUUAAGUUAUUCCGUCCUUUAUUUUCCUGUUACAUUUAACCGGUUUACGGGUUUAUAUUUGUGGGGUGUGUGUGUGGGGGAUGUUAAAAUAAAAAAUAUAGAGGAAAAUUCAGCUUGCCAGGUUGGUUCGUUAUUUGUAAUUUGGGGUUGUUUUUCUCCCAUAUACCUUGGCUUGACAUAAUGUCCUAGUAGUAAAUAAAAGUAAAUUAUUCAUUAAUAUAUUGAUCAUUUCUUUAUUGGGAAUUUGUUUUAUUUAGAGUACAGCAUAGGUGGAAGAAGCUCCUUAUCUAUGGAGCACAGUAGAAAAAGAGUGAGACAUGUUGACGUGGAAAAAGAGUGUUUCAUGCAUCUGCGAGCAUCUUGUUCUGGAAGGAGAGGCUUGAGCGAAGGGAGUCUUGUUUGGCAGCUGGAGGUUUGAUGGUGGUAACGUUAAUGAACCUCUGGAACCAUUUGCCAGAAUCCUUGAGGUUUCUAUCAUCGAGGUCUGUCCAAUUAACGUAACUGAGUCCGAAUCUGACGGUAAAACCUUUGCAGAAUUCAUAGUUAUCACCAAGAGCCCAUGCAAAGUAUCCUUUCACGUUGACACCCUUCUCCCUGAAAAACAAGAACAGUCAUCAUUAUCUCAUCAUAUAAAGUCCUACGAUAUUGAUGAUGAUGAUCAUAUAUGUAAGUAUCAUAUAUAGUAGCUUCCACUUACUUG
rnacentral:lncRNA from 1 species